rnacentral:misc_RNA from 1 species
GAAAAAAAAAAAAUCAAUGUACCCUAUUUAGAUUGAUGCAUUUCCCAUGGUAGAGAAAAAUAACUAUUAUAUCAUCAUUUUCUCUGACGAGAACGGCCGUGGAAAGGCUGGAUUAUACAAGACCCUUCCCGGCACUCCAAUUGUUGGCUGGUUGGAGGUGGCGGUGGAAGUGGUGGUUGGGGUUUACUUUCUUUUCACUUCCCUUGUAUAAGACAAAAAGCCCUCCAUGUUCCAGAGGCCUAUUCAACCCCACCACGGCGGUGCUGGACCUGCAGGUGGGAGAGUGGGCCAUCAGGAAGAUAUGCAAGUCCAAAUGCAAAAUCAGAAUCACACUACAACUACUCAAAGAAUUGGAGCAGCUGAGCCAUGCCUUGUCUUGACUUCCGAUCCUAAACCUCGCCUCCGCUGGACUGCCGAUCUUCACGAACGCUUCGUUGACGCCGUCACUCAGCUUGGUGGUGCCAAUAAAGCUACACCAAAGGC